rnacentral:rRNA from 1 species
CGCGUAGGCGGCUUUGUAAGUCGGAUGUGAAAGCCCCGGGCUUAACCUGGGAAUUGCAUUCGAUACUGCAGAGCUAGAGUAUGGUAGAGGGAAGUGGAAUUCCGGGUGUAGCGGUGAAAUGCGUAGAUAUCCGGAGGAACACUAGUGGCGAAGGCGACUUCCUGGGCCAAUACUGACGCUGAGGUGCGAAAGCGUGGGGAGCAAACA